GGAGAGGUGGCCGAGUGGUCGAAGGCGCUCCCCUGCUAAGGGAGUAUGCGGUAAUCCCGCAUCGAGGGUUCGAAUCCCUUCCUCUCCGCCA
rnacentral:tRNA from 5 species